GAUGAACGCUAGCGGCAGGCUUAACACAUGCAAGUCGAGGGGUAUAGGUUUUCGGACCUAGAGACCGGCGCACGGGUGCGUAACGCGUAUGCAAUCUACCUUUCACAGAGGGAUAGCCCAGAGAAAUUUGGAUUAAUACCUCAUAGUAUAGCAGUUUCGCAUGAAACCACUAUUAAAGUAUCAACGGUGAAAGAUGAGCAUGCGUCCCAUUAGCUAGAUGGUAAGGUAACGGCUUACCAUGGAUACGAUGGGUAGGGGUCCUGAGAGGGGGAUCCCCCACACGGGUACUGAGACACGGACCAGACUCCUACGGGAGGCAGCAGUGAGGAAUAUUGGUCAAUGGACGCAAGUCUGAGCCAGCCAUGCCGCGUGCAGGAUGACGGUCCUAUGGAUUGUAAACUGCUUUUGUACGAGAAGAAACAACAUUACGUGUAAUGUCUUGACGGUAUCGUAAGAAUAAGGAUCGGCUAACUCCGUGCCAGCAGCCGCCGUAACAC
rnacentral:rRNA from 1 species